rnacentral:rRNA from 1 species
AUUGAACGCUGGCGGCAUGCCUUACACAUGCAAGUCGAACGGCAGCACGGGAGCAAUCCUGGUGGCGAGUGGCGAACGGGUGAGUAAAGUAUCGGAACGUGCCCAGUCGUGGGGGAUAACGUAGCGAAGGUUACGCUAAUACCGCAUACGAUCUAUGGAUGAAAGCGGGGGAUCGCAAGACCUCGCGCGAUUGGAGCGGCCGAUAUCAGAUUAGGUAGUUGGUGGGGUAAAGGCUCACAAAGCCGACGAUCUGUAGCUGGUCUGAGAGGACGACCAGCCACGCUGGGACUGAGACACGGCCCAGACUCCUACGGGAGGCAGCAGUGGGGAAUUUUGGACAAUGGGCGAAAGCCUGAUCCAGCCAUGCCGCGUGCAGGAUGAAGGCCUUCGGGUUGUAAACUGCUUUUGUACGGAACGAAAAGGUUUGGCCUAAUAAGCUGAGCUCAUGACGGUACCGUAAGAAUAAGCACCGGCUAACUACGUGCCAGCCGCCGCGGUAA